GCUUGGGCGAGAGUAGUACUAGGAUGAGUGACCUCCUGGGAAGUCCUCGUGUUGCAUUCC
rnacentral:rRNA from 1 species